AACGAACGCUGGCGGCAUGCCUAACACAUGCAAGUCGAACGAUGCCUUCGGGCAUAGUGGCGCACGGGUGCGUAACGCGUGGGAAUCUGCCCCUGGGUUCGGAAUAACAGCGAGAAAUUGCUGCUAAUACCGGAUGAUGACGAAAGUCCAAAGAUUUAUCGCCCAGGGAUGAGCCCGCGUAGGAUUAGCUAGUUGGUGAGGUAAGAGCUCACCAAGGCGACGAUCCUUAGCUGGUCUGAGAGGAUGAUCAGCCACACUGGGACUGAGACACGGCCCAGACUCCUACGGGAGGCAGCAGUGGGGAAUAUUGGACAAUGGGCGAAAGCCUGAUCCAGCAAUGCCGCGUGAGUGAUGAAGGCCUUAGGGUUGUAAAGCUCUUUUACCCGGGAUGAUAAUGACAGUACCGGGAGAAUAAGCUUCGGCUAACUCCGU
rnacentral:rRNA from 1 species